rnacentral:lncRNA from 1 species
AACAAUUAGACAAGGUGAGGAUAAAUAUAUCUUAGGGUUGUACCUUCAAGUCUGGUAAUUCAAUCAGACAAGCACACUCCACAACAUCAACCCCAACACGUUCUGCAAUAAAGGGAGUAACAAACAGAACAACUAAGAAUGUAUUGAAAUGCUUAUGUUAAGCAUUAAACAGUAUAAAAUACACUUCCAAGUUAAACAGUCACUUCACUUGAAAACACCAUCUUUAAAAGGAUGGUAUUAGGUUCAUUACCCAGAAACAAGCUUUUCUCUUCUCAUUAAAAGCACAUCAUACAUGCAUUAUUUGUCUGAAUGUAUAAAUAAACAGAAAGAAGAAAACCAUGAAUGCUGAAACACUGAUAGGAUGAUCUCUUCUGUGGUUCAAUGGGUCCGAAGAAAGGAAAGUUAAAUGCACAAAAAGGAAGUACUUAAAUUCCACAACAAAUUUUACAUAGAAAUGCCCCUUAGAUUGAGAUGCCUAUAAGAACAUAAAAUGUGUAUGGGUGUAAUGCAGACAAAAUUAAAAUGUUGGAUUAAUAUCCUUCUAUAUUUUUCUUAACAAAUUAUGUAAUAGGACCCUUCCAGAGAGGGUAUAACUCAAGUAAACCAAAAAACUCAGAAAGACAAAGUGUAAAAUAAAACAAAGAGCAACAGAAUAAAGCAUACUGGUUUACUUCAGGAGAGAGGAAGAGAGAACACCAAAUACUGUCAUGCAUUCUAUUUCACAAGCAAUAAGGGAAAACAUCUUAAUGAACUUCAUCUAUUAUUUUGUGCAAAUAAACCAAAAAAGAAGUAUCAAAGAUAUAAUCAUGUAUCCCAGUGCCUAAGGCUCCUCACUUUACGAAGGAAUAAUUAUACACAGCCUUUCCGUUGCAUAUUCAAAGAAGCUAUUUCCUUAUUCGAGCCCAUGAUGAACUGGUCACCAAGGCAUAACUUCACCGUUAUGCCAAAGCUCAUCCUUGUACCAGGUAAUAUACUAUUAAACAGAAAUUCUUACCAGUGAUCUUGUCAGUUCUUCAUUUUCAUGAUAGUAUAUGGCACAUAUAUCCAAUAACUUUGGCAAUUCAAGCAACUUUUUCUCCUGCAAAAGAACUACAGGCAAAAUUAGUGAACAACGGUGAAUCACAACAAAAAAAGACAAAAUAUGAGGUAAUAUUACUCGACAAGAAUCCACAAUGGAAAUAAUUUUCCAAACACUUCCUAUUUCUUGUAUACAAAUAACAUUUCUAAAACAGCACAAAAUCAUUGUUCCAAUGCGAGUUCAAUCUCUGCCUGGGCCAAGACUUACAAAUGCACACAGUAUGUAUGUGCGCUGUCUUAACAAAGGAAUUAGUAAUAAAAAACAUGUAGUGGUCACUCAAACAAAAACGUCUAUAUUGUCCACAACCUAAAAAAAGUCAAAUGAUUUUCGCUAGGAUGCAAAUACAGGUAACUUCCGGCUGAUGAUGUCGACUGUUACGUUUGAGUGGAGGAGGAAGGGGUUUUAUUUUGUUCUUCAGCCAUAUCUGUAAGGAAAAACAAUAAGGAAAAAGAAAAUUCAGAAAAGCGAGAAUCGGAAACUGAUUGAGAAAGAAAAUGAAAAAGAACAAGAGAUUGAAACAAGAAAAUCAGAGUUACGCAACAGAGCUCUUCAAUUGAAGAGCUAUGAUACCAUAACACGAUUAGUGCAAAUCUGAGAUGAAGAUGCGCCUUGCGGGAGAUGGUUGAAGGAGUUCCAAUCUGUGAAAAAGAGCCCCUGCGUAGAAGACAAAAGCGCUUGUGCUUUGGAUCAAAAAGGGGGCUGCAACAUCAACGCUGUAAACAAACCAGUAUGAACACGAAAGGGUCUUUAUUCGAAGAACUGCAAUGCACACACAUUACAAAAAAUCACAGAUAAAAAAAACAGAGUCCAAAACAGAGCAUCACUCCAACUCAUGAGAAACUUACAUGCGAUACAAUACCAUGAAAAACGCGGCGACACAAAUCGCGCUCCCCAACAAUAACACCUGCAACAAUCCCUUUCACCCCGCGAUGAGGGAAAUCAUACCACAAGUCUAAUCUAAAAUGGGAAUUAGUUGAAAAGAACAGGUUAAUUAUGAGAAAAAUCUUAAAAAAAAUAAGAAAGAAACAAGAAGAAACUUGUUUAAAAGAUCGGAUCUUCUUUCAUCUAUU